CGUGUAGGCGGCUUGGUAAGUCAGAUGUGAAAGCCCCGGGCUUAACCCGGGAAGUGCAUUUGAAACUGCCUGGCUAGAGUAGGGGAGAGGGAAGUGGAAUUCCUGGUGUAGAGGUGAAAUUCGUAGAUAUCAGGAGGAACACCGGUGGCGAAGGCGACUUCCUGGCCCUAUACUGACGCUGAGACGCGAGAGCGUGGGUAGCAAACA
rnacentral:rRNA from 1 species